UAAGUGGGAGGGCCAGGAAAGAAGCCAAGCAGGAUGAGCUUGCUUUUGAAUCCAUCUUUAGCAGGUCAGAGAGCAGCUCUCCUCGACGGGAGAGAAAGAAAAGCUCAAAGAAGAAGAAGCACAGGUAUGAGGUGGGAAUACUUGAAUGACUGGAGAAGGUUUGCUGAAUUCAGGCAGAGGUGUUUCUUAUGUUUUUUCUUCUCUUUUUUCCAACAGGUCAGAAUCUGAGUCCAAGAAACGUAAGCAUAGGUCUCCCACUCCAAAGAGCAAACGUAAAUCUAAGGACAAAAAGCGAAAGCGGUCUCGAAGUACAACACCAGCCCCCAAGAGCCGCCGGGCCCACCGUUCAACUUCUGCUGACUCUGCUUCCUCCUCCGAUACUUCCCGCAGUCGGUAAGGGGUAGUCCAGGAGGAAGGGAGGGAGAGGGAAUGAUGGGUUAAUUAAUUUAAUAUUUAUUGAGCGCCCACGGUGUGCUAGGCGCUGCACAGACCAUUCGGAAGACACGGUCCCUGCCCUCUAGGAGCUGACAGGCUAAAGCAACAGGAUGGACAGACAUAUACAUUUCCCCUUCUCU
rnacentral:lncRNA from 10 species